AUGGAAAGCCGACGCACUUUAUUGCUAGGCGCUGGCAACAACCAGUGGCCACCAACCACAGUGAUAAAAUUCUCUUCCCUUGCCUUCAACACGAUAUAUUCAAGAACCAUAUCAUGCACUUGGAAGGUUUUUACCUUCCCAUUGCUGCUGUGUUCCACAGGCCGUAUUAUCUUCCUUCUUAUUAGCUGAUUAAAGUAUGUUUCUGCAACUUCCUCCUCAGUGAGCCCUUGCUUCUCGCUAGCGAAACCUUCUGCUAUCCAUCGGCGGGUCAAACGUUUCAUCCUGAUUUUCCCACCCUUCGGAAAUAUGCUCAAAUAA
rnacentral:rRNA from 1 species